rnacentral:rRNA from 1 species
GUAGUCCACGCCGUAAACGAUGAAUACUAGGUGUGGGAGGGUCCAACCUUCCGUGCCGUCGUUAACACAGUAAGUAUUCCGCCUGGGGAGUACGGUCGCAAGAUUAAAACUCAAAGGAAUUGACGGGGGCCCGCACAAGCAGCGGAGCAUGUGGUUUAAUUCGAAGCAACGCGAAGAACCUUACCUAGACUUGACAUCUCCUGAAUUACCCGUAACUGGGGAAGCUCUUCGGAGCAGGAAGACAGGUGGUGCAUGGUUGUCGUCAGCUCGUGUCGUGAGAUGUUGGGUUAAGUCCCGCAACGAGCGCAACCCUUAUUGUUAGUUGCUACCAUUUAGUUGAGCACUCUAGCGAGACUGCCGGGGUUAACUCGGAGGAAGGUGGGGAUGACGUCAAAUCAUCAUGCCCCUUAUGUCUAGGGCUACACACGUGCUACAAUGGCGAGUACAACAAGAUGCAAAACCGCGAGGUGGAGCAAAACUGUAAAACUCGUCCCAGUUCGGAUUGUAGGCUGAAACUCGCCUACAUGAAGCCGGAGUUGCUAGUAAUCGCGAAUCAGAAUGUCGCGGUGAAUACGUUCCCGGGCCUUGUACACACCGCCCGUCACACCAUGAGAGUUGGCAAUACCCGAAGUCCGUAGUCUAACCGCAAGGAGGACGCGGCCGAAGGUAGGGUCAGCGAUUGGGGUGAAGUCGUAACAAGGUAGCCGUAGGAGAACC